rnacentral:tRNA from 18 species
AGGAGCGUAGCUCAGGUGGCUAGAGCACUUCCUUGACACGGAAGGGGUCAGCAGUUCAAGUCUGCUCGUUCCUACCA